UACGUAGGGGGCAAGCGUUGUCCGGAUUUAUUGGGCGUAAAGAGCGUGUAGGCGGCCAGGUAGGUCUGCUGUGAAAACUCGAGGCUCAACCUCGAGAUGUCGGCGGAAACCAUCUGGCUAGAGUCCGGAAGAGGAGAAUGGAAUUCCCGGUGUAGCGGUGAAAUGCGCAGAUAUCAGGAGGAACACCGGUGGCGAAGGCGGAUCUCUGGGCCUGUCCUGACGCUCAGGCGCGAAAGCUAGGGGAGCAAACAGG
rnacentral:rRNA from 1 species